UGGAUGGAUGUAUCACUCAUUAGCCCUUGAGCAUGUUAUAUUAUGUUAUGAUAGAUAUGAAAGACCAGGGUUUAUUUUAUACCCCUUUCACUAUAAUUAUAUUAUAUUAAGAGAAAGUUUUGAGGAGCAUCCUUUGUGAGCCAAGCACUAUGGAUAUUUUAUGUUAUGUUUAAGAGAAAGUCCCGAAGUGCAUCUGUUGUGAGCCAAACACUAUUAAAAUUAUGGAGGGUUACUAGUGACAAGUCUAUCUUGAUGUGUUGUUUGUGUUGUGGCGUAUUCAUACAAUCAUAUAUAUCUUAUUAAACUAUUUUAUGUUAUAUUUUUGCUCGCUAUGCUCUAGUAGUUUAUCCCUUUCCCUUUUCCCUAACCCCAGGUUUGUAGGACCAGUGCUAGCUCAAGAGGUCAGAAAUAUUCCAUGGUAUAGCUUUUUGUAAUAGUAUAGACAAUUGGGCAUGUUUUAAGUUUAAGGUAUGUUUGAACCUAACCAUACUGGAGUAUUUGAUGAGGACUCUAGCAUGAAUUUAUGUUUUCAAUUAUAUAUGUAUGCAUAUGCUGAGUUUCAAUUAACGAGAUAUAAUAUUCAUGUAUAUUUUAAGAUCAUGUUUGGGAUUAUAUCACAUGUUAUAGGAUGUAUAGUAGGCUUGCUACAGGCUCCAACUACCUUAAGUCAAUCCGAACCCUAGUACUGGUAGCAGUCUAAUUUCUAGGUUGUCACAGGCAAUUACUGCUAUUAGUGCUCGAUGAGACUCUCCCCGACUUGGUUCUUCUUCAUCCUUAUAAAAAGGCUUGAGCAUGGCAUGGAAACAAGGUGAGCCUCCACAUGAGUUGACAACUUCACCUUAUAGCUUUUUGUAGGACCAGUGCUAGCUCAGGAGGUUAGAAAUAUUCCAUGGUAUAGUUUUUUGUAAUAGUAUAGACAAUUGGACAUGUUUUAAGUUUAAGGUAUGUUUGAACCUAACCAUACUGGAGUAUUUGAUGAGGACUCUAGCAUGGAUUUAUGUUUUCAAUUAUAUAUGUAUGCAUAUGCUGAGUUUCGAUUAACGAGAUAUAAUAUUCAUGUAUAUUUUAAGAUCAUGUUUGGGAUUAUAUCACAUGUUAUAGGAUGUAUAGUAGGCUUGUUACAGGCCCCGGCUACCUUAAGUCAAUCCAAACCCUAGUACUAGUAGCAGUCUAAUUUCUAGAUUGUCACAGGCACUUACUGCUAUUAGUGCUCGAUGAGACUCUCCCCGACUUGGUUCUUCUUCAUCCUUAUAAAACGGCUUGAGCAUGGCAUGGAAACAAGGUGAGCCCCCACAUGAGUCGACAACUUCACCUUAUAUGCAAUCUUGCCAACCUUCUAUUUUGUAAGGAAAGGACCCUCAUAUGGCUAAAGUAUACCUUUAUGCACCUUACUGUGUGAGGAAGGAGCUUCAUUAUUACCAAGUCCCCCUCUUGAAACUCAACAUGUCUUCUAGAAGCAUCAACCCACUUAUUCAUUUUCUUUUGUGCCUUAAUUUCUUUGCCGCAUCAGAAUUUUCUUGCCACCCCUUGGCAAAUUUAUAUGCUUUUGAGCUCUUUCCACUAUAUUGGGGAGCCACGGUGAGUAGAGGUAAUGGCUGCUGCGCCUUAGCCACCUUAAAAAGACUAGCUCCUGUUGAUUCACUCAUUUGCAAGUUAUAAGCAAACUGGAGAUAUUCAAAAGCUACACCCAGUCCCUUUGAUUUGACACUCAUGAAGUGUCUUAAAUGAAGUAUUUUACCCAUUCUGUCUGCCCGUCUAUGGAUGUAAGCUAAUAGAGAAGUUUAAGUUGGUACCCAUAAGCUUGAACAGUGUCCAAAACCUCUCCGUGAACCUUGCAGCUCGAUUAUUAAUGAUGGAUCUUAAAAGUCCCCAGUACUUGACCACAUACAAAGUAAGUCUUCAUAUAAUAUCUCGGCACCCUUAUCCUGUUGACAUAUAAAGCAAGUCUUCAUAUACAACUCAAUGUCAUCUGGCAUCCAUGGCUAGAAGUACAUACGAUAACAUGCAACUCACAUCUGGCUGUCCAGUCCACAAGAAUCAUGGCACUCCCAUAUAAUGUCUUUCUGCAGAUGUCUCCACUACGACACAUAAAGAUACCAACACCUAUUUUCAAAAGGUCCCGUUUGCCACAUACCUACACAGUCUGCCAGCCUUAGUGAGGUUCAACAACUCCUGCACUCGAGUGAUAAUGUUUAAUUUUAUAUUUCCUGAGUGAGAGGAUAUUAUGAUGAUUUUCCAGCUAGAUAGUCCUACCACUUUUUCUCUUGGAGAGGCUCAUAUAUGUUGGAAUACUUUGACGAUGUUUGAAAUGAUAUAUUAUAUUCUAGAAUUAUGCAUUAAAAGAGAGAGAAAAU
rnacentral:lncRNA from 1 species